GGCCUGGUAGCACAACGGUUUCGUGCAUCUGCUUGCAAUGAGUACAGCGUUCAUUAUAAGUUCGGCAGAGGAUCCCCGUUCGAUUCGGGGCUAGGCCA